rnacentral:rRNA from 1 species
CUACAGGCUUAACACAUGCAAGUCGAGGGGUAGCAGGGUAGCAAUACCGCUGACGACCGGCGCACGGGUGAGUAACACGUAUCCAACCUUCCCAUAACUCGGGGAUAGCCUUUCGAAAGAAAGAUUAAUACCCGAUAGUACUUUUUUAGGGCAUCUUAGAAAAGUUAAAGAUUUAUUGGUUAUGGAUGGGGAUGCGUUCCAUUAGAUAGUUGGUGAGGUAACGGCUCACCAAGUCUUCGAUGGAUAGGGGUUCUGAGAGGAAGGUCCCCCACAUUGGUACUGAGACACGGACCAAACUCCUACGGGAGGCAGCAGUGAGGAAUAUUGGUCAAUGGGCGAGAGCCUGAACCAGCCAAGUAGCGUGAAGGAUGACGG